GGGGGAAUAUUGGGCAAUGGGGGGAACCCUGACCCAGCAAUGCCGCGUGAAGGAAGAAGGCCCUCGGGUUGUAAACUUCUGUGAUGGGGGACGAAGGAAGUGACGGUACCCCAUAAGAAAGCUCCGGCAAACUACGUGCCAGCAGCCGCGGUAAUACGUAGGGAGCGAGCGUUGUCCGGAAUUACUGGGCGUAAAGGGCGUGUAGGCGGCGAUGCAAGUCUCAUGUGAAAGCCCCGGGCUCAACCCGGGAAGAGCAUGGGAAACUGUGUGGCUUGAGUGAGGUAGAGGAUCGUGGAAUUCCUAGUGUAGCGGUAAAAUGCAUAGAUAUUAGGAGGAACACCGGUGGCGAAGGCGACGGUCUGGGCCUUAACUGACGCUGAGGCGCGAAAGCGUGGGUAGCAAACAGG
rnacentral:rRNA from 1 species